rnacentral:rRNA from 1 species
AUACGGAAGAUCCAGGCGUUAUCCGGAUUUAUUGGGUUUAAAGGGAGCGUAGGCGGAAGUUUCAAGUCAGUUGUGAAAGUCUGUGGCUUAACCAUAGAAUUGCAGUUGAAACUGAAUUUCUUGAGUGUAGAUAAGGAUGGUGGAAUUUGUGGUGUAGCGGUGAAAUGCAUAGAUAUCACGAAGAACUCCAAUUGCGAAGGCAGCCAUCCGGGCUACAACUGACGCUGAGGCUCGAAAGUGUGGGGAGC